rnacentral:misc_RNA from 1 species
AACUUUCGGCAACGGAUCACUUGGUUCUGGCAUCGAUGAAGAACGCAGCGAAAUGCGAUAAGUAGUGUGAAUUGCAGAAUUCAGUGAAUCAUCGAAUCUUUGAACGCACAUUGCGCCCCUUGGUAUCCCGAGGGGCAUGCCUGUUCGAGCGUCAUUUCACCCCUCAAGCCUGGCUUGGUGUUGGGCGACGUCCUCUUUGGGGACGCGCCUCGAAACGUUCGGCGGCGUGGCACCGGCUUUAAGCGUAGCAGAAUCUUAUCUUUCGCUUUGAAAGUCGGGGCCACGUCUGCUGGAAGACCUACUCGCAAGGUUGACCUCGGAUCAGGCAGGGAUACCCGCUGAACUUAAGCAUAUCAAUAAGCGGAGGCU